UCGGUUGAUCCUGCCGGAGGUCACUGCUAUUGGGAUUCGACUAAGCCAUGCGAAUCGAGAGGGUUCGGCCCUCGGCAGACGGCUCAGUAACACGUGGAUAAUCUACCCUCAGGUGGAGGAUAACCUCGGGAAACUGAGAAUAAUACUCCAUAGAUCUAGGAUGCUGGAAUGCACCUAGAUUGAAAGUUCCGACGCCUAAGGAUGAGUCUGCGGACUAUCAGGUAGUAGUCAGGGUAAAGGCCUGACUAGCCUACGACGGAUACGGGUUGUGAGAGCAAUAACCCGGAGACGAUAUCUGAGACACGAUAUCGGGCCCUACGGGGCGCAGCAGGCGCGAAACCUUCACAAUGUGCGAAAGCACGAUGAGGGGAUCCCAAGUGCUUGCUCGUAAGAGUAAGCUGUCUUUAUGUCUAAAAAGCAUAGAGAGUAAGGGCUGGGUAAGACGGGUGCCAGCCGCCGCGGUAAUACCUGCAGCUCAAGUGGUGACCGCUAUUAUUGGGCCUAAAACGUUCGUAGCCGGUUUGGUAAAUGCCUGGGUAAAUCGUGUAGCUUAACUAUACGAAUUCCGGGUAGACUGCCAAACUUGAGACCGGGAGAAGCUAGAGGUACUCCUAGGGUAGAGGUGAAAUUCUGUAAUCCUGGGGGGACCACCAGUGGCGAAGGCGUCUAGCUAGAACGGGUUUGACGGUGAGGAACGAAGCCCUGGGGCGCAAACCGGAUUAGAUACCCGGGUAGUCCAGGGUGUAAACGCUGCUUGCUUGAUGUUAGUUGGGCUCCGAGCCCAAUUAGUGUCGGANAGAANUUGUUAAGCAAGCUGCCUGGGAANUACNAUCGCANNAUUGAAACUUNAAGGAAUUGGNGGGG
rnacentral:rRNA from 1 species